rnacentral:rRNA from 1 species
UACGUAGGGGGCGAGCGUUGUCCGGAAUGACUGGGCGUAAAGGGUGCGUAGGCGGCCCGAGAGGUCCUGGGUGAAAGGCCCCGGCUCAACCGGGGAGGGCCCCAGGAAACCGGCGGGCUAGAGGGCUGGAGAGGGCCGCGGAAUUCCCGGUGUAGCGGUGAAAUGCGUAGAGAUCGGAAGGAACAUCAGUGGCGAAGGCGGCCAUCUGGGACAACACUGACGCUGAAGCACGAAAGCGUGGGGAGCAAACAGG